GAUGAAGAACGUAGCGAAAUGCGAUACUUGGUGUGAAUUGCAGAAUCCCGUGAACCAUCGAGUCUUUGAACGCAAGUUGCGCCCGAAGCCAUCAGGUUGAGGGCACGUCUGCCUGGGCGUCACAUAUCGUUGCCCAAUGCCUAUUGCAGUGCAAUAGGAAUUUCUAGGGCGAAUGAUGGCUUCCCGUGAGCGUUGUUGCCUCGCGGUUGGUUGAAAAUCGAGUCCUUGGUAGGGUGUGCCAUGGUAGAUGGUGGUCGAGUUAGAACGAUACCGAUCAUGUGCAUGCUCCCCAAAAUAUGGCCUCUAUGACCCACACGCGUCUUUAGACGCUCAUGACGAGACCUCAGGUCAGGCGGGGCUACCCGCUGAAUUUAAGCAUAUCAAUAAGCGGAGGA
rnacentral:misc_RNA from 1 species